rnacentral:lncRNA from 1 species
UAUUGACUAAAACGUGUAAAAUGAUAUGCAUAUAUAGUUGUUCGCGCAAAACGUGAAGUUAAAAUAGAUUGAGUUGUCAUGGAAUGUAAAAAUCUAGAUUGUGAAUGUAAGGAGAAUAUAAAAGAAAACAUCUUUUGAUUAUGCGAAAUGAUACUUUGUAAAAGAAUGGAGAUGCUAUUAUGGUUUUAAAAGAAUUUACAUAGUUGCGAAUUUGUCGGUUCUUAUGAAGUUUCCUUGCCCACGUGCUUUGAAUUUAAUUGGCGUAUCGCGCGAGAUUCUUGAGGAAAAGUUGAUCCUUAGAAAAAGGAAUUUGGUAUACGAGCCUAGUGAUUGUUGAAAAAUGUUUUAUUGGUUUUGGAAAGGAGUUUUAGUAAAUGCUUAAAUAAUACUGGUAAUAUUUUAUAGAUGUGUGCGAAAAAGUUGAUUUGAUUCUCAAUUAAAAAUAGAAAAUCUCUAGUUUAAUGAUAUGUGAUGAGCUUGUUUUAAUAGUUAUGUUGAAUACAAAAUUCGUGGGCAAUGGAUUUGUUAGACCGACUAAGUUGAGGGGUAGUACUUCGUGAAAUUUUGAAUGUUGAGAAACAAGUGUCUACGGAAAAGUAAAAGAAAAUUUCACGUGUGUAAGCUAUAUGAAAAUAUAGAUUGUAGGAUAAGUAGUUCAUUCAUAUAAACAAUGCAUUUUGAAAUAAUUAGAGAUUUGACUAACGAUAAUCGAUUUAGAUGUAUAAAUGAUCGUGUUUACAUGUCAUAGUCUAUUAAAAGAAAGUAUCGGUAACGAUCACCUAGGUAAGGGAAUCACCCCUAACCCAUUGGUGAGGUCGUUGUAAGAUGAGAAAAAAAAGCGGAGUUAAUCGUCAAGGUAAGGAAAUCACUCCUAUCUCGACGAUAUGUCUCCACUUGUUGUUACAAAAGAAAAAUGUAAAUAAAAUUACGAGAAAUUAUGCAUGCUAGUGAUGUAUAACCAUAUGAAAGUAAUAGUAUGAUGUAUGCGUAAAAGUGAAAUCUCAAAACGGUUCAAAAUUGACAAGAAAGAGUUUCAUCAUAAAAGAUCGAGAAUAAUAAAGCGUAAGUUUGAUAAAAAGGAAACUUGGAUGGUUCCAAGAUGGAAUGUUGACUAACCAAAGUGGCCGAAAGGUCCUUUGAAAUUGAAAACAUGCUUUGGCCUAAUAGGUGAAAUACUCUCGCCGACAAGUCGGUUAACGGUAUUCACCCUUCCGGUUACUACAUGCCCCAAUUCAAUUGAAAAUUCGAGACUUGGCGAGAUUUAUAAAAAUCAAGGAGUGGGACUAGUCGACGAGGUGCGGGUUUCACCCCUAACUUGACGACUUCGUGCCCUAGGUGUGGUUGGUACUCGUCGGGUCAAAUUAAAUUUUGAGACGUUGACGAGGGUCCACUAGAAUUUAAAUUUGGAAUUUCCAUUAAGAUGUGGAUUUCACUCCUAACUUAAUGGUGAAUUUCAUGUAAAAAUAGAAUCGAGCGAGAUAAGAGUCGUUUACCAAAUUGUGGGUUUUACGCCUACUUUGGUAAACUCGUCCCGUUUGUGUAAUAUGAGUGUUUUCGAGUUUAAGAAAAAUCGACUAAAAUGCUUUAGAAAAGGGGAGUAUGUUAAAGGAAUACGCAAACAAGUAUAAACACAUAAGAAUGCACAUCAAGAACGGUACAUAAAGAAUAGGAUAAUAAAACAAGUACCAACACAUAGAGAUAUAUGCACAGAAUACGCAUAAAGAAUCGAACAAUGGAACAAGUAUUAUGACAUAAUAAAACAAGUAUAGCAGGUCAAGUGUUAACACAUAAGUGACAUAUAUGUUUGAAUGAUGAAAAAAGAGAACAAAUAAAGGCAAAUAAGAUAGCAUGCAAGUAGUUUCAAGCAAAACAUGAGAAUAAAGCUCUAAAACUAUAGACUAGGUUAAAGCAUUCCUACUUUUCCUAAUUCCCUAUAGUUAUGGCUCUGAUACCAAUCUGUCACACCCCAACCGAUGGCGGAAACAUCGGGAUGAGACGAAGUGUGUAUAGAUUGCUAGAGACUUCAUAACACUAUGUGACAAUAUUUAAUUAAAUUCAAAUUUCUUUGCAAUUGCUAGAUUGUCAUACAAUAAUCAAAACAAAAAAGACAACAUUGUUUCAACAAAUAACAUAACAUUAAAAGAUAAAUAGAUUAAAGGUGUGUAUCUAGUCCACCCUAAACUUGUUUCAUCAAUCAUCCAUACUUCAUUAGUCAACCUGCAACAUGUAUUAAAAUAGAGUUUCAAUGCAAAGGCAGUGAGCGAGUAUACAAGUUUGUUUACAUAGCAUAAUAGAAUAAAAACUCAUAUCCAACAUGAACAUAAUACAAUAGUUUCAGCCGUGCUAGUUUACGCAGUCCAAGUGAUAGCCCAAGUUUCCAAUGCGUUAAAGUACCUAACCCAAAGUUUCACGGGAGGUUAAUAUGUCUCCUUCUAACAAUACCCCUCGACUACAAAUGGGGGAGGUGCAUUACCCCUAUAGCGCUACUAUUGUUAAGGCGGAACUACACACAGGGAUUAAACGUUCACAUAGCACAAAAUAGUCUCAAGUAUCACAAGUUUCAUGUUUCAUGUUUAAAUGGAUAGAGCAUGUUUCAAAUAAGUUUCAAGUGUCACGUGUUUGAAUAUAGAAUACAUGUUGCAUCCCAAAAGUGUUUAAAGCAAAAAGGGAUCAAGUAUACUCACAUUGGUUGCGUAUAGAGAUUCCUUGAAAUAAUGCACGAGUAGAGAUGGAGAAAAAUCCAAGAGAACGUACAAAACGGUUAUCCUAGACAAGGUUUGGAAAAGUACUAAAUAAAUGGAAUUGAUAAUAGACUUGGUUAUAUUUUGUGUUUGUACAUUUUAUUUAGUUGUAACAAAUCUAAAAUAUAAUUGCUCUUGAUCUAUUGAAAAUAACUAGAAUAAGAUGUUUUAUUACUUGUUUCAAUUUAAUUAUAAGCGUUCAAAUAACUGUUGUAACCAUUUAAGUGGUUUCAAAAAAAAAGUGCUUCAGUUAACUAGUAUUUCAAUAUGCUAGUGUAUAUAUAUAAAACAAAAUAUACUAUAAAAAUGUAUCAGACCCGCAAACAGGUCGGUUCGAACCCAGGUCUCCCGGUUUAAGAUGUAGCAUCACACCCGUACCAAUAUGGCAAAUAAUUUAUCUAAAUAACUUAAACAGAAAAAGAAUAUACAUAUAUAUAUCGAUUUAUACUUAAACUGAUUAAUGUAAUAUUAUAAAUAGGUAUUAAUUUUUUUUUGUUCUAAUAUUGCAUUACAGAAACUAUCAACUACAAGUUUAUUUAAUUUAAACAAGACUUGAUUUUGCCUCUUGAAUAUCCCACCGAACAGUAACCAUCACCUACCAUUUAUGUAAGGUUUUUAUUUUCUUUGGAAGUCACCUUCUUCAUUAUAACAACAACGAACUUAUCCAACUUCCAAAUUUAAGAUGAUUAUUAAGGUGAUAUUAAAUAACAUUUCGCAAGAGAUUAAAGAGGAAACAAAGGAUAAAAAGAAUUAUACCGAAUGAUGAAAUAGAUCGA